rnacentral:tRNA from 1 species
AGUCACGUGGUCUAAUGGUUAUGAUUUCUCGUUCACAUCGAAUUCCCUUCGAGGCGCCGAGAAGGUUCCCGGUUCGAUCCCGGGCGUGACUA